rfam:Nicotiana sylvestris Nsyl_contig201677, whole genome shotgun sequence.
AAGAAAAGAGCUUGUCAAGUUAGCUAAAGAUGACCUGCCUAAAAACCAAUAUAAGGAAAGGAACACCACCAAUUAAUGGUGCAAAGACCUUUCCAUAAGAUGAAGGCAAGUCAUCCUUGGCUACCAAAUAAGCCUCUUCUCA